ACUCCUACGGGAGGCAGCAGUGGGGAAUAUUGCACAAUGGGGAAACCCUGAUGCAGCCAUGCCGCGUGUGUGAAGAAGGCCUUCGGUUGUAAAGCACUUUCAGUAGGGAGGAAGGUAGUGUAGUUAACACCUGCAUUAUUUGACGUUACCUACAGAAGAAGCACCGGCUAACUCCGUGCCAGCAGCCGCGGUAAUACGGAGGGGUGCGAGCGUUAAUCGGAAUUACUGGGCGUAAAGCGCAUGCAGGCGGCCUGUUAAGUCAGAUGUGAAAGCCCGGGGGCUUAACCUCGGAAUUGCAUUUGAAACUGGCAGGCUAGAGUCUUGUAGAGGGGGUAGAAGUUUCAGGUGUAGCGGUGAAAUGCGUAGAGAUCUGAAGGAAUACCAGUGGCGAAGGCGGCCCCCUGGACAAAGACUG
rnacentral:rRNA from 1 species